AACCCCUACGUGGUUAGUUGUCACGCAAGUAGCGUUGGGCACUCUAGCCAGACUGCCGGUGAUAAAUCGGAGGAAGGUGGGGACGACGUCAAAUCAUCAUGCCCUUUAUGUCCUGGGCUACACACGUACUACAAUGGCCGUUACAACGGGAAGCGAAGGAGCAAUCCGGAGCAAAUCCCUUAAAGGCGGUCCCAGUUCAGAUUGUGGGCUGAAACUCGCCCACAUGAAGGCGGAAUUGCUAGUAAUUGCAGAUCAGCAUGCUGCAGUGAAUACGUUCCCGGGCCUU
rnacentral:rRNA from 1 species